rnacentral:lncRNA from 1 species
UAUAUGGAUAAAGAAAUUGUGGUAUAUUGAUACAAUGGGAUAUUAUUCAGCCAAAAUGAGGAAAGCCUGUCGUUUUCAAUUAUAUGGAUGAACUAGAGGACAUCAUGCUAAAUGAAAUAAGCCAGGCACAAAAAGACAAAUACUGUAUUUUCUCAUUCAUAUUGUGGUAUCUAAAAAAUGUUGAACUCAUAGAAGCAGAGAAUAGAACAAUGGCGUCCAGGGUUUGGACAGGGUGUGUGAAAUGGGGAGAUGAUGGUUAAAAGGUAAAAACUUUCAAUUCUGACAUGAACCAGUUCUGGAAAUCUAAUGAACAACAUGGGUAUUGAUGAUAGCUGUGUUAAUUUGACUGCAGUAAUGAAUACACAAUCUAUAUGCAUAUAAAGACAUCACAUUGUACGUCCUAAAUAUAUUCAAUCUUUAUUUUUCAAGUAAAUAUUUUAGAAUUAAAAAAAUAGAAAUUAUUUUAUUGAUUGACAAACGAAUAGUUUCUAAGAGAGCUAGAUUAAAAUAUACAUCAUACUAGCACUGGAUAAGUGAAUCAAGUCUUAUGUUAACAUUAGUUGACCAACAUUAUUUUCUAAUAGGUUUAUCAGAGAGGCAUAUAUAGACAUUGGAUAAUCUCAUUGUUGUUCUCUUUCACUUAGAUCAGAAUCUCUUAACAUUCAAAUAAUGACUGAAAUGUGUGUAUUUCAAGAAGUGGAAAAUAAGUUACAACCUUUUGUCAGAUUCUCAAAGAGAUUCUUGACCAGAAAAGAUUCUGAACCUCUGUGUAGAAGUAACAUGUUUUUAUCCAACAUUGCACAAUGGUUCUUGACUGUUCUUUAGAACUAAUGUUCUUCAUUUUGACUUGUACAAAUUGUGGAAGUCCAGUAGGAGUAUAGAGACAGACUUUGUAAUAUAUUACAAGACAUUUACAAGUUGAAAAAACUGCUUCAGUGAGUGAGCUACAGUGGUAGAAUUCUAAGAUGGCAUUCCAAUGUUCCAAUCCCCAGGUUAUUCAAUAAUAUGACUCCAGGUAUUGCUGUGAGGGGAUUUUGAAGAUGUAGUUAAAGCCCCAAAGUGGUUGACUUUUUACAAUACGGAGAGCAUUUGGUUGAGACUGAUCUAAUCACAUGAGCCCUUUCAAAGCAGAAUUUUCUCGGGCUAGUAGCAGAAUGGGAAUUGGAAAUUUAAAGUGCAAGAAGGAACUAAUGUGAAGAAGAUUCUCCAUUGCUGAGAUGGAGUGGGGCACGUGGCAGGGAUCUAAGAGUGGCCUCCAGAAGCUCUAAAUCUCCAGAAUCUCCAGGGAUUGGAACCAAGUGCUUUAUCUUUACCAUAUACCAAUCCAUGAAUCAACUCCAAAACAGAUCUCUAGAAACAGACAAGACUGACUACUGCCUGAAGGUUUCUGACACCAAGUUCCUGAGGUACAUGGAACAGAGGCUGUUAGGAAAUUUGCCUUGCAACUAAAAUUUAAGCAAAGAAACAACUUGUCAUCUACCUGUUUACCUCUAACAGAAGCUUAUACACAUAUGCAUGGGCUUGGAGAAAAUGAUAUUCACUUAAAAACAAUAUAAUAAUGACAUGUACAGAGCCAUAUAGCUCCAAAACCUUUCAAGUGCUACGUCCAUUUGUGAGGACAUAUUUAUCAGUCUAGUACUACCUUGUAACAGUACAAAAGUACAUUCACAUUAUUUUUUCUAAAGGAGCUUAGUUCCUAGAGGGAAAAAUACACUCUUCUCAAAGUUUUAUAAUAAUAAUUAACAUACCCUACAUGAUGUUUGUGAGACUCAAAUAAGGAAAACAAUGGAAUAUGCUAUAUAAGAGCAACAUAUUAUUGUCAAAGUUUUAUUUCUUUUUCUCUAUCUUUCAAACAAAUCAUAAUCUGCUUUGGUUUUUAAAAGUAGUUUAGUCGUAGAAUACUCUGUUCACAUAAUUUAUGUAUUCACAUUAAUCACAUAAUUUAUAAAUCAUAAAAUAUGACGAUAGUGGUAAUAAUAUAAACAAUGAUCUAAAAGUAUGUUAAAAGUUAUAAUCUUCGCAUCGCACUCUCAUGAAGUAGGUUAAUAGACAAUACAUGGCUUGCCUAAUUGCACAUAGAAAUGACUGUUUGGGCCAAGGAUUCAAAUCUGGGGCAUGCAGGCAGAAGUCCUGUUCUCUUGAUGUUCAUUCUAUGCUCUUUAAAUAAACCCCAUUUUAGUCACAUUAAUCAUAUAAAUAAAUAUUUGAUUGUUAACCUAUUAUCAUUCAGAGGAACGAGCUUUCAUAUUUGACUAUAUGAUUUACAAUUACCUGGGACCAAUUUAUGGCUUUUCACUCAAAACAGGUGAUAAUGUAAGCUGUUCGUGCAAAAAGAAUUAGAGAAUUGUUGGAGGAUUAGUGCUUCUUCUAGCCCUUCUGACCACCAAUCCAAGCACAGUUAUGAGUAAACACAUUUUAAAAAAUGAUGAGGCGAGAACUCUUUUGGCAUAUCAUUUCCCUUAAUUAGUCUGCCAACAAGCAUAAAUGCCUGCUCUCAAAGCCUGAGUAGCAGUGAACCCACAGUAGCACAGACUUCUAAUGCAAGAUUUGACCUUGCCCUUAUUGCUCAACAUUCUAUAGGUGAUGACAGUGAGUUGAGUCCUUUGAUGACAUAGACUGUUUACUUAAAGUCCUUCCAUCGGAGGCUUAACAACGUAAUACAGAGUUGAAUAAAGUGGUUUGCAGUCCUGUUGUCAAAAAAAAUAAAAUGCACUGUCCACAGUGUCCUGGAAAACUGUUAACACAUUGUUAGUAGUUUCCAAGCAAGGAUAUUGUUAAACACAUUUCAUGUUAAUGUAGUCUAGCUCAGUGGCAAUUUUCUCCUAGUAAAGAAAUAUGAGGUUCUUAAAAGGUUUAAGCAAAUAAUACAGAGUAGGCUUGAAACACUCACAAGUCAUGAAUUGAACUUUCACUCCUUGUAGUUUAAUAACUAAAUAAUACAUUUUAUAACUAAUUACAGAGAAUUUUUUAUGUGUUGACUUCCAGUGGGUCACAUUUUUUAUAGACAUAUAAUAUUAAGAAAUAAAGUAAGAGGUAUCACUAUUUUAUGUACAUUUAGCUGGAAGUUUUUAAGCAAAAUUAAGAGGUGGAAUGUGAUUGCUUGUUCACUCUACAGUGAGUUGUUAAUCAGCAGAAGUUAAUAAGAUUCAAUUAAGAAUUAAAUGCUUAUGAGAAAUUUAAUAGUGUGUUCCUACCAAAAAUAAAAAUAAAAUAAAAGAAUUUCUCUGUAACAGUAGUAUAGAGGUAAAUAGCUAUCAGGUCUCAGGCAUGAUGGAAUAAAAUAACCCAGUACCAGAGUUAAGACGAAAUUUCCUUGGUGUGGCUUUUUUUCUCAAUUAGGGGCAUCACGGUGAGUUUAUUCCUGUCUUCUAACACAUCCAUCAUUCGAUGCAGGAGGAAGCAGGAGGCUCGACUAGAUGGACCAUUACCAGCUCUGGUAUAUAAAUUCCUGUUUGGAGGCCAUGGAACUCUCCAAAUUCUAAUAUCCAACAGGAUUUUUGUCUUGGCUCUGGAGACUAAAUCAUCUCUUUGACCAAAGGAGAUAGAUUUAUGCUGCUGAAAAGCAAUGCACCCUCUGGAGCAGAGGAGAGAAAUUCUAUACCACCCAGAGGAAUGUGUCCUCAUUUUAUCUAUUAGUGAUUUUAAAUCCACAGUAUUAUUUUUCCCCCAGAGAGUUUGUUUGUGUUAGUUUGGUUCAUAUCACAUCUUUUGGAUUUGAGGGGUUGAAUGUAUAAAAAUUGAGUAUUUGGCCCAACUUCUGAAGCUUUAGAGAGAAUAAAUCCCUUCCAAUAUGAGUGUUAAAUGAGCCACAGCACUGAUUUAUUGUCUGCUAAACACUGGAGAAUGUGGAGUCUUUGUUAGGGAAACGAGGCAAUGAGGGAAAACUGAAAUGUUGACAGGAAGGUUUUCAUAUUAAACUCUAGUAUUUUCCAUCAAGCAGCCAUGCAUUUUCUGGUGAUUAAAACUGAAAAUUAGAAGUAGGAAUUUGCAUCCCUAUUCACUACAAAUAAAUUAACUCUACUGUAUAACUGGUACAUCCUUGAGAACACUGUUAGAAGGAAAAAUAGCACAAUGGUAAGACAAGGUACACACACACAAAUGAGUAUUUAAGAAGACAGGCAGUAAAUGUUUCAUUGGAUUGUUUUUCUAUGAAAUCAAGAAUAAAUUAUCAAGGGUCAAAGGAUCUUAACAAUUACCUUUCCCAGACUUCUUAUCUGGAAUUUGAGUUCCUUUGCAAUAUUCACUCAUUUACCAUUCACUCUGCCUUGCUCUGACUUAUGAUUGAGAAUAGCUAAUGGCCAGGUGCGGUGGCUCAUGCCUGUAAUCUUAACACUUUAGGAGGCUGAGGUGGGAGGAUCACUUGCAACAGGAAGAGCUAACUAUAUUGAACACAUUUUUCUGUAAGGAAAUAUGUACAUGCACAAGUAUCUCAUUUCUUGAGGAGACAUCUCUGUUGUAAUAAAAUUAUUAUUUAUAUUAAAGCAAAGUUAACAUCCUUCUUACUGUUUACUGUGCACCAAGCAUUGCCAAUUUUCUGGGCAUUUAAUCAAAUAAACAAACAAAACAACCCUUUAGGAUAAGAAAGACAAACCUCUUCCUCUGCUAUGGAUUUGCAGUGUCUGUGUGGCACUUUUGACUAACAGAGCAAACCUUGUGUUUGUGGGCAAAAGAGAAAUGUUUAUAGGUUUCAGCUAUAUCACAAACCUAGGUGAUAUAAAUGCACAAACAAGAGUGCAUUUGAAGUGGAGAGACAAUCAAUAGACAACUGGCAUAAAUGGAAAACUAGAGGCAGAAAAAUCAGAUUGAAAAAAGCAUUGCAAUGCUAUAAGAAAGAUUUCAUUCAAGCCAAGUCAAGGACAGAGGAAGUAUAUAAAGGGGUGAAGAAUGCAAGAGACAUCUCAAUGAUGAAGUAAAUAAACUGAUGUAGGCUUUACUCUAUAAGAACCAUGUGAUAUGUUAAAAAGCGUAUGAGCUUUGGAAUGACUGAAGUAAAAUUAAUUCUUAUUUGAAUCUGAGCUCUAUUAUUUGCUUUCUGUGUAAAUUUAAAAAAAUGAAAAAGAAAAAACUACUAAAUUUUGUCUCAAUCUCAGAUUCUUUCUUAUAUAAGGUUGUAAAUAAUAUGGGAUCUCUCAAUAUUGAGAUGCCUAGCACAGAACUUAAUACAUAAUGGCUGCUACAUGAAUAACACACAUCAUUGUUAACUAUUCUAGUAGCAAACUUUGGUUUUCUCUUUUAGACUUUAUUUGUGGUAAAGAACACCGAUAUCUUGUUUACUCCUUACCCUUCCCUAUUACCCUGCUAAAAAUCCACCUUUCCUGUCCUCUCCUGCCAUCUUGCACAUACAUACAGUACCCAUUAAUUGUUAAGGAUUAGAAUUAUGAGUCAGGAUCAAUAUAAAUCAAAUAUUAAUUUCUACAGAAGUGUUUAUUAGUACAGUCUUAUUCUAUUACACAUACAGCUAAUAGAAAUAAUGUCUGUGCAAUAAUUUUUGACUUAAUAUGAAAGCUAAUUGUUAAAAUUAUGUUUCCAAGAUAAUUUUUUACGACCUAACACAGACAGGUUGCAACUAAAAGGCACAUUAUAUCAUUACUCCAGGUUCAAUACUUCAUAAAACAACAUUAGUUCUUUGCAGAGAGUAAGUACUUUCUGCAGAAAAAAAUGGUUGAAAUUUAUAUUUUAAGAUGUCUCAUGGUCUAUGUUCUUUCCCUGCUGGGUGACACUCAAUGAAUACUCCACCUUCUGAAUGACCAUACCUUUAUGGUAGAAGCUGGGUAGAAGGAUGACAAAUACCUUAACUGCACGUCUUAUGUUCAGGGAAUUCCUUGGGAAUUCCAUCAAAGUAGUUCUGCCUCAAAAAUGGCUAAGGGCAAAUCCUGUGAUAAAAUUAGUGUUCUCUUUUGGCUUUUUGCCACUAUUAUUUACGUUCACUCAUUCAAGAAAUUUUCUGAGCUUCAAAAACAUAUUUGUAUCAAAUUGGAACAGUCAUUAUAAUAUAAAAUUAGCCACUUUCAAGCCCUGGUGUUCAUCUUUCACAAUCCAGGCAAAUUUAAACCUUUUCUUAUGUAUUUCUUGAUUCGGUAGAAAUAAAUUCUUCCCUUCUUUGUCCUCCUUUGGAAAUAAUUGAUGUCUGUCUUAUUUUGCUUAUUAUAUUCAGCCUUUCACUGCAACUGGGGAUAUUCAUCUCUCAAUACCAGAUUAUACACUCUUAAGGCUUUUGUGCCACUCAGUUUCCCAUAUAGCUUGGCAUUAUAUCUUGUAAGCAUAGGGCUCAAUAAAUGUGUGGUGAAUUGAAUUGAUCUGAGACAAAUCACAUUCCAGAGCAAUGUGCAUGGAUCUUCAAUAGAGAAAUUAUACAGAAGAAAGAUAAUUUAAGCAAAUCAUUCUUUCAAAAGCCUUAACCUUGACCUUAGCUAGUCCCUUUCUGAUGGUUAAUUUUAUGUGUCAUCUUGCCUGGGCACAGGCGCCUAGAUAUUUCAUUAAACAUUAUUCUGGUUGUAUCCGUGAGGAUGUUUCUGGAUGAGAUGAACCUUUGAAUACAGAUUGAGUUAAGCAGUUUGCCCUCCCCAAUGUGGGUGGACUUCAUCCAAUCCCUUGAAGGCCUGACUAGAGCAAAAGGUGGAGUAAGGGAGAAUCCACUCUCUGACUGACUGUGUUUGAGCUUGGACAUGAGUGUUCUGCCUUGGAGCUCAGACUGGAAUUUACUUAGAUCAUUAGCUUUUCUGGUUCUCAGGUCUUUGAACUCAGACUAGAAAUAUACCAUUGGCUCUCCUGGGUCUCAAGUUGCCAAUUGCAGAUUGCGGAUUUUGGGACUUCUCAGCCUUUGUAACAAUGUAAACAAAUACCAUAUGCAUAUAAGCCAUAUAUAUGCAUAUAUGCUCCUAAUUUGUUGUUUCUCUGGAGAACUAAGACUAAUACACCCUCAUAAUAAGUUUAUCAAUCCAAGAAAGAGAGAAAAGUGCGCUUAAAAUGCACAUGCUACAUUGGCCUAUGUUCUCUUGUCUCCAUUGUCACCCUAAAGUGUUGACAGCGAGAACAAAGAGUCAAUUAUGAUGCUUAAAUCAUAUAUUAUCUAUAUCUGGGCAUUCAACUGACAUAAGUAACACAUGUUUUGCAUGACCUUCAAUGAUACCCCUUGUCUCAUCACACUAAGAAUAAAUAAGCACUCAACACUCUGGGUGCCCCACUUCCCCCUUACUGUCUGCCAGCUAUAGCUAACAUAACCCUGAGGGACAGUGAUCACCCUAAACAGGAAUUCAUUGCAACUUACAAGUUGGGGGUCUGAAAUAUUUUACCUGGAAAAAUCUAUCAUACAAUACCUUCAGACUACUUGUUUAUGUCUCUUUAAAAAGUACAAAUAACUUCAAACGUAAUCACUAACAACGAGAUAGCAACAGAAAAAGUAAAUACCCUCCCCUCAACCUCAAGCCUAUGGAAUUAACAAGAUCAACCAGGAAAUUAUUUAAUUAACUAAGGUGAAAGACUAAAAGUGGCAUUUUGGUUUCAUUGUACAAACGAUGCCACAACAAAACCCAGGUAAAUCAAUAAAUAAUCACACACAUCAAUUGUGUAGAGAACAUAUACUGCAAAUCACUUAAUAAGAUAGUUUUAAUUAUCAGGAAUGGCCACCUUCAUUUUAUCUUACAUUUUAUUUAAAUUCAUUAUAUUUUGAAAAAUUUUGCAUCCUGUAUGAGAAACUAGCUUCAAAAAUACAAUUAAACUUUCCAAAUGCCUCAGGGAGUAUGUCCUUUUCCUAUCCUCCCACCAUAAAAUUAGAAAGGAAGCUGAUGGCUAUUUAGCUGAGAGGAUCCCUGUGGGUGACUGGAAAGUUGCUGGGGAGGAACAGAGGAGAUAUUACCUCUAUCAGGAAGGUCACCGUUAUUUCAAAGGGAAUGGGUUUUUGCCUCAGUGCCUAUAAUACUAAUGUGUAGAUCCAGGUGCUAUACAUUGACUUAGCAUUUCAGGAAAGUACAGGCCAUGCCAGUGAGAUACACUGACAUAGAAUGCCAGGAGACACCUAUUCAGAUUUAUCAAUAUUUACUCUAAUACUCUCUAAAGUCAAGCUACUUAAACAUUGAAGUCACAUAUAUCCAUGUAACUAAAGAAAAAGACUUUCUGUAAAGCACUAAAGGACCAUAUCUAGGUCUUUAUUUUCUCUUGCCAAAACCAUAAAGUUUGUGUAAAGAUCAAUUGAAAGAAUACAGGGCAAAGUGUCAUAAAAACAUUGGAAUUAUUAUAAUCAUAAAUUAUUCCUCUGAUGGCUGUUGCUGUGGUAUAGUUUGCUCUAUACAGCACUAUAAUGAAGCAGGAUUCUGCUACUGUCAAGUUUUUUGAUCAAUAAAAAUAACAAACUAAAGUAAUUCACAUUAUCAUUACAUGGAGCUCUUCCAAGGCCCAAACAUAGUUUAUUUCACUGUGAAUGCAGACUUGGAUAUUUUGCAAUGUUAGAAUAACCAGUUAAUUUUCCAAAGUAUAUAUUUAUUUUUAAAUGAAAGAAAGAGGGCUUUUGCCUUGGGACCAAUGAUACUAAUAUGUAGAUACAAAUUCUAACUCUAUGAGUUAGUUUUCACUCUUUGACCCAUGUUCAAUAACAAAAAUAUACUCAAGACACCUGUUGCAAAGAUGCAAAUUAUGUUGAUUAAUAAAAUUAUCACAAAUAUUAAGCUACAUUUAUAACUUGCUUUUUAUAAUUUAUUUCUCUUUAUUUUGCUUCUUUUGGCUAAACAAAUACCAGUCCCCUAUAGAUGUUUAGAUUUGAUUGACAAAUUCAACGAGUGAUAUGAACUGAUGUAUAUGUUUGCUUACAAUAUGUAUCGGAAAAAUAUAAACGACGAGAGUGAGAAAAAAUAGUUCCAAUUUUAAUAUAAAAAGGGCUUUCUUUCAAAGUUGAUUAUUCCAUUCUUCUUUUCUUUGGGGUAAUUUCCAGUCAUUGUUGGGUGGGGUGAUUGAGAAGAAUUGAUUAUUUAAAUAGGACUGCAUCUUUGGAGGUUGCACUUAGGGCAAAAUGAAUAUUGGAUAUCCUGGUAAUGGAAGCUCUCCCUAAGGGUAUUUUGGUUUUCUUUCAGAGUAGGUUAAAUGCCAUGAUUAAUACUCUGAGUAAGUAUCACCUGCUAUGUUAUCAAAAGACAUGAACAACUUGACAUAGAAAGAUGAUAAUUCACAUUUGCCACAAACUAAAUGCAGUUUUAGCCCUUUUCCAAGGCUAGGGUACAUCAAAUGCUGCCUGAAGUUUGACUCAAUAGACAAAUUGUCCCUUUCUUCUUUUCCUCCCUGCUCAGAUUGUUAUCUGGGAGAGAAUCAUUUGCAAGAAAAGAAUAACUUAUCAGAAAGGAGAAACUGCACAGAAGAUCCAAAGGCUCAACUGUUCCCAUGUGUACUGGGCUUCUGACUCAUUCUGGUUCUCAGGAAAGAGAGGCAAACCUCUGUUUCACAGCAAUUUUCAGAGGGAUUUGGGGGCUCUCGGGCUGCUAUGAGCCAGUGGCUGCUGUGUGCAUGCAGGAGGAGGUCAUCUUGCAGAGGAGUAGAGAUGUUAGCUUUGCAGGGAAAUAAAGAAAGAUAAAGAAGGAGUUAGUCUGCCUUGUGUAUGUCAUUUAUCCCUUCCUUAGAUUGGCAAACAAUUUUCUUUCAAGUAAAGGGAAAUAAUACAUUUCAACAUUGUCAAACAUAUUUAUCAACAUAAUUAUAUGCAAUCUGAGUCUUUCAUAAUGAUUUUCCUUUCUCCAGGCAUUGGCAAACAUAGAUAAUCAAUGUUACCCAGUGACUACAAAUAGUUUUCUCAAAAGGCUGUCUUCCCUUUUCAACAGACAGAUUGUCAAACUACCAAACAGUAAUGCUCAGUGUAGCAAAAAUAUCACUUAAUUGACUAAUUGCAGAUUAACACUUCCUAGGCAUCAGUAAUGUUAGAAAGCUUUAAUGGCUGUAGUAGUUUAUUUUCCUUAAAGACAAAGAAUAGCCCAGGAUCCAUUAAAGAAGUCACUUGCUUAUAUAACACCACUUAGCAGAUAUUUUCUCUUUCUUCAUGCAAACUUGGGAUUCUUAGUACCAAGCAGAUGUCUUGGGGACAAAGGCAGUAAUGUGAAAUAUUAUUACAUUUCUUCAAAGCAAAACAGAAGGAAACUUGAGGAAUAAGAAUAUGCACAUUUAUAGUAAAAUAAUUAAGAAAUGAGUAGAAGGGUGAUGAUUUACAAAAGUAUAAAAUAAGUAUUAAGAUUCCAGUAAUUCAUAAAUAAUGAAGAUAAUAUAGGGAGUCUGGCUAGAGUACAGACCAUUUAAAAGUUCCUGGUUUCUUUCAAGAUUAAAUAACUUCUCAGAAAUCAGUAUGCAGUUCUGAUGCUUUUCCCCCAUACCACAAUACACCCACCACUUCAUUAUUUAUAGAGACCUAGGUCGUAUGACUGAAGAUGACUCUGUUCCCAGAGCUGAAACUUCUGGGGAUGACUGAUCAAUUCCAUUAUUUCUAAUACUCUAAACCACAUACUCUAACCUAGCAUUAGUUUGAUCCCAGACUCCAGGGGUUCCUAGGGUUCUUUUGAAAGAAGGGUAGAGUGGCUGGUGGAGAAAGCUUGAUUUCCAUCCAAUGGGAACAUUUUUAUUUAUAUUAUUAAAAUCUACACAUUAAACUUAUGAAAUUGAAGGUGACGUCAAACUAAGGUGAGCUGAUAAAUCUUGAGGGAAAAGCGUACAUUGUCAGAGAUUUUACUCUUAUAAUGCAAAGCUCUUUAGUGCUUAAGAGCAUUAGUGUUGUCAUAAGAAAACCUUGGUCAUGGCUUUGACAUUUACCAGCUGUAUGACCUCAAACAAGUUAUUUAAUUUUUGUCUCAGUUUCUUCUUCUGCAAAUGGGAAUAAUAAUUCACAGGACAUUUUGUGAUGAUUACAUAAAGCGAUGAUCACAAUGCCUGCCAUACUUCACAUAUUCAAAAAUAGUAACUAUAAUAAUAUUUUAAUAAUAAUAAUGAUGAUGAUUUUUAAGGACUUUAAGGAAUUAUACAGGAAUGUUUCUCCCUAUACGACUAGCUCAGUAUGAUUCUUGGGGCAGUAAUUAGAAGAUCAUUUUAGCUGGAAACUACAUGAUCUUCUGCUUCUGACAACGUUUUUCUCAUCACUGCUUUGCUUUACAUUUCUAACUCUGCCUUCAUUAGGUACUUGCCUACUGAAGACGCUAUUUCUUAAAUAACAGAUGAACUUGAAGAAUAAUGAUCAACCUUAUUUAAUAAUUUACUCAGUUUUCUCCUCAAUUUUGCUUCCACCUAAAUUCAUGGCCCUCAUUUCCCCACGAUACAUUUAAUUGUAAAGGUUUCUCCAACCUCUGUUGGACUGCACGAUCACAAUCCAAUAAAUGGAAAAUAAAUUUAAUCAGUCAACAAGUGACCUUUACUGUAUGUCCCAGCCACUGUUCUAAGGACUGAGGAAGGCUCAGUGACAAGACAAGACAAGCUUUCCCUCUCUGACGUCCCUCAUGAAGAAUGAUUGCGAUUUUCAAAGGGAGCUUCUUUAUAGUUGUCAACUGUAGUCAAGUAUGCUUUGAAUGAAGAUUUUAGAUUCACUUUUCAUUAUUUCCUCUCUGGUGCAACAUGUAUUUACCUUCAGAAGAUUUUUAAUGAUAGCCUUUUCCAGAAGAUCCUUGUUAAUAUUUCUCCAAAGAUGGAGUUUACACAUAGAAGUACAUGCUUAGACCCACCCAAGAACCAAUAAAGUAAAACAAGAAAAAAAAAACUAUGCAGAAUCACAACCAUUAAAAUGUUCACCUAAAACCAGACUUAACUGAAAAGGUAUAUUUUCUACCAUAUGGAUAAUGGAAUUUUGCACAAAAGUGCAAAGUUUACUGCUGGGGAGUAAAGGUAAAGAGUCUAAGGGAAAGAUUCAGGAGGUAUAAAGCCCUUCCUUAGGAAACUUAAAGGAAGUGCUUGAGAACCAAUGAUUUAAUAAAAUCAAGCAUAUCAGCACAUUCAAAAGAAUAAAGUUAAAUGAAAUGAGAAAGAGAAGAAGGUCUAUGUCAAAUACCGUAUUCAUUUAUAUGGUAACUGAGAAAUUUAUCUCCAUUGAGAAAUUUAAUGUCCUGAAAAUCAGGCGCUCUCACUAUUCUAAUUUUCUUAAUAUUAAUUUAGUUUGGUCAAAAAUUUAGGUCAAAAAAACUUGUCAAAAGAAUUUACAAUCAGACGAUGAGGAUUUUUUAGUUAGCCUCAAAGCAAAGAAUGCUGUCUUUGACUGUGCAAACUGCGUGGGAAGGUAGUCAUGGAUUGAGUCACAGCUGAACCUUGGACAUUCAGUGGGCAUUGUGACACAACUGGAUACUAAAAUGAUUACAUAAAGGAGGUGGAAAAUACAGCAAUGGCCCAUGAAGAAAAGGGAAACAGAAAACACUUUAUUUUUGAAAAUCUGUUAGCAUGUUAUUUGCAGCAAAAAUUAUCACCCACUGAUUAUUUUAGUAUAAUGAGGAUGCUAAGGUUGAAGUUAUCAAGAUCAAUAAAUACAGAUUGAAAAAAUAAUUAUAUUCUCCCAAUUUUGCCCAGUAUCUUCAGUCAAGCAAGUAAUAGGGAAAAAAGAAGAAAUACCAAAUAUUUUCUUAUAUUCUUCUUAUCUGACCUGUUUUAAAAUUAAGGUGAAAUAGAUCUCUAGCCAUAGGAUCUUUAGAACUAAAUGAGCUUAAGUGCCACAGCUAUGUCAUAUUAUCUUGAAGGGAAAGGUAAUUAUUUUUGUGACAGGCCCAUUUCUUAUUAUCACUAAUAAUCUAAAAUUAUAUAUUUUGUCAUGUAAUUAUUAUCUACCAUAAACAGCCAGUAGUGUGUUAAACUGAUACUGGGAACUCCUUGUUAUGCUCCAACUCCAAGGGCAAAUAGUCUUGAAUUACAUUCAUACUGUUUAUUUUAUUCAUUAUUCAAUUGUUUGUUCAAUGUUCCAAAAUGAAAGAUCUCACAGAACUUCUAAAAAAAGCACUGCCUUUCAAGAAAUUAUGCAAUAGGUAUUUGAGCCAAUCAUGUCUGUAUUAUUUGAUGCAUACUGACUUUACCUGGGUAUUUUUUACACUCUCUAAGCAUAGAUUACUCGUUAGUAAAAUGAUGAUAAACAUAGUAUGAAUGUCACACAACUGUUGCAACGACAUCACACAAUUGUUGCAAAAAUUAUUGAAUAAAAAGUACUUAGCAAAAAAGCUCAGCCAAUGUUAAGUUUCAUGAAUCAAUUUGAUCCCAGUAAAAACCCAGCACACUAUGUGUAUAUGCGUGUGUGUAUGAAUGUGUGUGUGUGUGUGUGUGUGUAUGUGAUGUGUAAACUAACAAGGUGAUGUAAGGAAAUUUAAAGGACCUAGAUUAACCAAGAUUAUUUUGAAGAAGAGCAAAGUUGAAAGAUCUAUACUACCACACAGUGAUUUAGUAUAACACUAAAUAGUAAAUAACUAAAUAGUAAAACACUAAAUAGUAAAUAAAUUAUGGUAUUGGCUCAAGAUACAGAAAUAAACAAAAGAAGACAAUAGAGUCUAGAAAUAGAUGCCCACACAUAUUGUCACCUGAUUAAUAACAAAGAUGUCACUACAAUUCAGUUGUGGAAAAGAUGGCCUUUUAUACAAAUGAUGCUAGGAUAAUUUGAAAAAGUGAAUCUUGAGGCCCUAACUCUCAUCAUACACAAAAAUAUUCAAGAUUAAUCAUAGAUUUAAAUGUAACAAAAUAAUAACAUUUCUAAGAGAAGACAUAGCACAAUAUCUUCAUGACAUUGGAGUAAACAGCUUGCAACUAACCCUAAAAGGAAAAAAAUAAUAAUAAUUGGAUUUUAUUAAAAUUAAGAAUUUCUUCUCAUCAGAAGAUCAUUAAGAAAGCAAGAAGAUAAUUCAAAGACUGAGAAAAAUACACUUCCAAUGUAUGUAUCUAAUAAAUGACUUAUAUCCAGAAUAAAUAAAGAAAUUCCACCAUAAAAAAGUAAAAACAAAUUCAAUUAAAACUAGGCAAAAACGCGAAUGGCACUUCAAAAUACAGGAUAUCCAAAUGGCUUUUGAGCAUAACAUAUUUAUUCAACAGAAGAGAACAAAUUAAAACCUCAGCCUGUACCUUUCCUACCACCAAAAUGGCUAGUACUAACAAGUCUAAUGGUACCAAGCAGCAAGGACAUGAAGCUACCGGAGUUCUAUUACAUCGUUGGUUGAAGUGCGAAUUGAUACAGGCAGACUGAAAAAAUAUUUGGAAUUAUCUACUAAAGCUAACUAAAUGUAUGCCUACCAUAUGAUUCAUCAAUACCGCUCUUAGGUACAGAGCCAAGAAAAGAAUGUGUUAAUAUCCGUAAGUAAAUAAAAAUAUCCAAAACAGUUUUUUUCAAGUAAUGGCAAUUUUGUAUAAGAACGUCCUUUUUUGCACCACUGCACUCCAGCCUGGGCAACAGAGCGAGACUCCGCCUCAAAAAAAAACAAAAAAGGUCCUUUUUUAAAAUAAAUCCAAAUACUGAAAACAAUCAAAUAUCCAUUGACAAUAGCAUCUAUGUAAUUCAUUGUAUGUUCAUAAAAUAUAAUAUGAAACAAUAAUAAAAAUUAUAAAAUACUGGCCA